AGGACCUUCUAUGACGAUCAUCUUCAGUUUUGAAAGACAUUAGUAAAAAAGCUUUUCUUUUGUUUUUCUUUUUAGUUUACAUUUAUUUUGUUUUAGCGAAGGGCCUAUAGCUCAGUUGGUUAGAGCACACGCCUGAUAAGCGUGAGGUCGGUGGUUCAAGUCCAUUUAGGCCCACCAACCGAUAAAG
rnacentral:misc_RNA from 1 species